GAUAAAUCACCGCAGACGGUGAGCGCAAACCGCUGGAUGUUUACGUCUGGUCCUUACUACAGCCAAUCAGCGCUGAAGGCCUUCCUCAGCCCCAACACAUAAGAGGUCGCUCUCUGUCUUUCUGCGUGUUGAAAAACACUGAUGUAGACCACAAGGAAACGUGUCAAAUGGAGAUUAGGAUCAUCAUAGGUCCCCAGAUGAACACAAGAAUGGAGGGACUGCCCAUGCUUUUGGUGCACAAAAAGCAACCCCCAGGACGAUUCCGCUUCCAUUUCUCCCCCCACUGGAGGAAGAGAGCUGACAACUUGGAGGGCUGGCUCUCCGAGACAAAGAAGAGCUGAAUCAAUGCAGCAAAGACGGGGGAGAUUCCGUUUGAAAAGCUAUUUUUUUCCACCCCCUGGUGUGCACUGACUGGAGAGGUGAAGUGUGGUAAACAGCUCCAGAUCUUUUCUGAUUCAGGCUAGAGUGGCAGCACUAGCUCAAGGCUUAAAGCAGCAAAAGAGGACAAAGUAGAAGGGAAAAAAAGAGCAUGUCACCCCAAUACAAUUACGGCUUGUAAUGAACGCAGCAGAGAUGCUCAGUGCUGUGGUAAUUGGGAAAUUUGCUGUAAUUACUCGACAGGCAAAGAGCUUCCACUUCUCUCAGAUGGAGAUGAUCCUCACUGUGCCUUGUUAAUGACAACCGCUCAUAAGCCAGACUGA